GAUGAAGAACGUAGCGAAAUGCGAUAAGUAAUGUGAAUUGCAGAAUCCAGUGAAUCAUCGAAUCUUUGAACGCACAUUGCGCCCGCCAGCAUUCUGGCGGGCAUGCCUGUUCGAGCGUCAUUUCAACCCUCGACCUCCCUUUGGGGAAGUCGGCGUUGGGGACCGGCAGCACACCGCCGGCCCUGAAAUGGAGUGGCGGCCCGUCCGCGGCGACCUCUGCGUAGUAAUCCAACUCGCACCGGAACCCCGACGCGGCCACGCCGUAAAACACCCAACUUCUGAACGUUGACCUCGAAUCAGGUAGGACUACCCGCUGAACUUAAGCAUAUCAAUAAGCGAGGA
rnacentral:misc_RNA from 1 species